CAUACUUUGAGACCCUUCCUGCGCCGCACCUCCAUCAUUUCAAAAGGCACUACUAGAAGAUGCAAGGGGUUUUAAGGGUGUUCUUACGGUUUUAAUCAAAGGUUAACAAGAUUCUACAUCAUUAAAAGAAGAAACAGUGUCUUAGGAACCCGGCUAAUCAUCUCUGUGGUUUUUUAAAAUAGUCGUGGUGAGAGAGCAAAGCGUUUCUGAGUAAGAGCCAGUGUCGCGCGGCAGGGAAAGUGCCGUUGCCACACCGCCCCUCACCCUCACCUCGCCUUCACCCCACCAAGGCGACAGUGACAGAGGUCCAGGCACGCGCGGCACCGAUAAGUCUGUGAACUGAGUAUUGUGGGUGACAGGCGUGACGCGCAGUGACACCACUAAUUACACAAGGCUAUACACUGCCUGCUGACACCUGCCCGCCUGCCGCUGUCCACCACGCGGCCACUCAGUCACCAAGCAUGUCUGAUGACUGCAUGCCUGACAGCUUCCCUCCCUGACACCAUGCCUCCCCAAUGACCGUCCCCCCCCUCAGGACACUCCUACAUGGCUGCAAGGACUAUUCAUCUAUAUAAGGAUUGUGUUUCAGGUGUGAUUGUGCUAAUACACUAGAGGUCUUAAUGCUGUACAAGGUAAGUUUGAAAGCCUCUAGAGGUGCUUAUGUUAUGUAUAAUUCCUGAGCCCCUGAGUGUAGUAAGCUGUCCACAAGACUGUCCCUUUCCACCAGGGGCUGACAGGGGUGAGAGUGUGAGUGAUGUGUGUAUGAGGAUGUGGUGCUUAGCCUGGGCCAUCCUGUGUGGGAUAGAUACUUUGUCAUCUUCCAGCCAAUAAGAGCAGCACAAUGUUGUAAACGGUGUCAAUGCAUACUUGUGGUGACGGGACAAUCAAGGGUGACCGAAUCACCUCGGCCUCAGUGAUCAUCUUGGCCUGAAUGGUAACAAUGCAACAGUUAACCAGUAUUCUCAAUCAUUCAUCCCUUACUCUGGUAAACUUUGGAACUCACUGCCUGCUUCUGUAUUUCCUCCUUCAUAUGAUGAAUUCUUUCAAGAGGAAGGUCUCAAGACACUUAUCCUUUUUUUUUCCUCACUCCCUUGGCCAGUGUCCCUCUUACAAAAAAGCUCACUCCAGAGUCCCAGCAGGGGCUCACAGUGCCUCACAGUGCCUGUCCACCUCAUGGCCUUCAGGUCACCUCAGUGCCUCCCUGAUGCCACUGUCCUUCACACUCCACAUGCAGACGUGACAAUCAAAUAUUUUGGAUGACCCUUUUCGACCUUUCAUUAGGGACUGCCACUUCUGUGGGUUCACUUUUUGUUGCCCCAGGCCAGUGCCUCUCUUACAGAAAAUGCUCUUGGUUUAUAAUACAUAUGAUAUUUUUCUUAUUUCCAUUUGUGUUCUUCCAUGUGUGUGUGUGUGUGUGUGUGUGUGUGUGUGUGUGUGUGUGUGUGUGUGUGUGUGUGUGUGUGUGUGUGUGUAUGUGUGUGUGUGUGUGUGUGUGUAUGUGUGUGUGUGUGUGUGUAUGUGUGUGUGUGUGUGUGUGUGUGUGUGUGUGUGUGUGUGUGUGUGUGUGUGUGUGUGU